UUUAAACUAUAGCUGCGUCUCUUCCGAUCUCCUUCUUGUGCUGUUCUUUUCGUCUGUCACCAGUGAGCUUGAGCAUGUUGCAGAUUUCUUCUUCCUUUUCCUCUGUUCUACGUUACUGAUCGCUCAACACUAUUGGGGAGUGGUUGAUUCACGUUGAUUUACUGGUUUUCUGCUUCCCCUGUUCAGCACCGAACUGCUCUCCCUUCAUAGUCGUUGUGGCCGAUAUCUGAUGGUAUAGUGGAACUCGUGACUCGAUAUAUCCACUGAGGAGUUUUACUGCUGAAUUGAAGCAGAAGAAUUAUUUUAGUCAAAUCCUAAUUUGGUGAAAAUUUGAACUUUAUACCUACGUUGGCGUCUGACCUUAAGUGCUCCACAUAGACUACAGGUAGGAUCCUCAUAUUUCCUUUAAACUUGAAUAUCUGAUUUAAUAUUGUAAUAAUUUUUAAUUACUUUAUU